CUGUAAAGGAACUUGAGGAUAAACACAUCUUUCAUCGGGACAUCAAGGGACAAAACAUUCUGAUUGAGACCGGCUCAGAUGUGCCUCGUGUUCGCAUCAUUGACUUUGGACUGAGCUGCUUUGUUAAACAGCGAUCUCUGUAUCGCAUCUUCUAUGGCACUCCUCUUCACAUCCCUCCCGAGUGGUACAUUAGGAGCUGCUACAGGUGUGGACCCACCACGGUGUGGCAAAUGGGAGUGGUGUUGUAUGAAGCGCUCAUGCACGAUACUUUAGUACCGCGAGGUUCCUCACAAAGAAACUGAGCAUCAAAAAGCGUCUGUCCACAGAAUGCCGGAAUUUCUUGGACGCAUGUUUAGCUAUAGUCCCGGAGAAGCGCCCAACACUGGAGGAGCUCCAGCUUCACCCCUGGCUAAGAUAACACACACAAACACACAAUUCACACCUUAUCAUAUAAGUAUGAUACAUUGUAGUAA